rnacentral:rRNA from 1 species
CCUACGGGAGGCAGCAGUGAGGAAUAUUGGUCAAUGGACGAGAGUCUGAACCAGCCAAGUAGCGUGAAGGAUGACUGCCCUAUGGGUUGUAAACUUCUUUUAUAUGGGAAUAAAAUGUUCCACGUGUGGGAUUUUGUAUGUACCAUAUGAAUAAGGAUCGGCUAACUCCGUGCCAGCAGCCGGGGUAAUACGGAGGAUCCGAGCGUUAUCCGGAUUUAUUGGGUUUAACGGGAGCGUAGGUGGAUUGUUAAGUCAGUUGUGAAAGUUUGCGGCUCAACCGUAAAAUUGCAGUUGAAACUGGCAGUCUUGAGUACAGUAGAGGUGGGCGGAAUUCGUGGUGUAGCGGUGAAAUGCUUAGAUAUCACGAAGAACUCCGAUUGCGAAGGCAGUUCACUGGACUGCAACUGACACUGAGGCUCGAAAGUGUGGGUAUCAAACAGGAUGAGAUACCCUAGUAGUC